ACAGCGACGGUUCGGUAUCGCAGUUAAAUGACGAAAAAUCAAGUAAAAAUCCAAAUAGCAAAUAUCAAGUAGAAAAACUUGGCGAAGGUGCAACGAAAACGGUGAAACAAGUUUUUUAUUUCGCUUCUAUUCUACAAUACAACAGCAGCAAUUUGACUUAUUGGAAUAUAAGAAUAUAUAUAUAAAGCUAUAGCUCGCCGAAGUAUUUUUGAGUUUAAAUCAAAAUACUGAAUCUGAAAAAAAUAAAAUAUUAACUAAAUAAAAACAGUUAAACACUUUUACAUACAAAAAAUUAUUCGUCAGUGAAGUGACUUUGUGUGCGAAUGACGCCAUUAUUUGUUGUUACAUUUGUGUCUGCGUACUUGAAACUGGGUGAAAACAAAUACAGCAGAGAACCAGUUAAAACAACCAACCACGCAGAUUGCAGGAAGGAAUACUUGUUAAAAGAACAAAUCUUAUUGAAACAUUGAAAGAGCUUCGCUAUAGAAAAGUAAAACGCUAGUAAAAAUUAGAGCGUGAACUGGACAGUCACCACUAUCUCUUUCAACGCUUACGCACACACAAAUCUACAUAGCAGCUGAGCUGGCAGUUCAUGCGUCAGCAGUUACGGUAGCCGCGAACGUAGCAAACGUAAAUAAAUGCAAUGCGCGUGUAGCGUAAAUUAUUAUUAUGAUAAUGAAUUAAACUUGCCAUUAAUUUAGAAGUGAACAAAGAAGCUGCCAAAGAGAUAGAAUAGCGAAAUCGGCGGCACAAGCAAGCCAGCAAGCAGGAAACGCAAACGUAGUGGAAAGAAGUAGUCAAACAGCAUAAAGUGUAACAAGCGAAUAAAGUCGUACAACAACAACAAUAUUAUAAUAAUAAUAUAAUUACAACAACAAGCAAACGCACAGCGCAAAACAAAGCAACGACUGCACGUAGCAUGCGUUGCACGCA